GACGAACGCUGGCGGCGUGCCUAAUACAUGCAAGUCGAGCGAACAUUUGAGAGCUUGCUCUCAAAUGUUAGCGGCGGACGGGUGAGUAACACGUGGGCAACCUGCCUGUAAGAUCGGGAUAACGCCGGGAAACCGGGGCUAAUACCGGAUAGUUUUUUCCUCCGCAUGGAGGAAAAAGGAAAGACGGCUUUUGCUGUCACUUACAGAUGGGCCCGCGGCGCAUUAGCUAGUUGGUGGGUAACGGCUCACCAAGGCAACGAUGCGUAGCCGACCUGAGAGGGUGAUCGGCCACAGUUGGGACUGAGACCACGGCCCAAACUCCUACGGGGUGGCUG
rnacentral:rRNA from 1 species